GAGGAGGAGGAGGAGGAAGAAGAGGAACCUAAGGACAUAAGACUGUCCCAGAAGAGGGCAGACAGAACUUUCUAGAAGCCCAGAAAGCUUGUCUUGGGGCAUCUUUGGACACUCCUCGGGCCACCACCAUUCCCUGGCUAUCACUAUCUCUUCCAUCACAGUGGGGACACCUGCCAUGAAAGUAUUAUCAGUGGUUGAGAAAGACGAGUUCAGUUCUGGAAGUAAUUAGUCAGUUUGCCAGGGGCUAGGGCAGCUCUUUGAGAACUCAGGUCCUUAAAAAAAAAACCCAACCAAUCAACAAACAAACAAUCAAACAAACACCCUUCUAUAAAUUAAAUUCUUAUUGACUUCAACCUGUAAGUGUUCCUGUCAGAUUUACAAAAACAGAAAACACAGCACUUUUAUAUCUUUUCUUUCCCUCACUGCAUUGCUCUUUAUGAUCCAGACCAACAGUCUUUCUUCUUAAUAGUGGAAAAUUCCUUUGAGGGGGGCCUUUCUGCCUGGGUAGGCACUUCCUGUCAUCCAAAUUACAGGAUUAAAACAACCACAGCUCUGCCCAGCCAGAGUGACUGAGAACCUGUCUCUUCUCAUUUCCCCAAAUUGAGUCUGUUUCCCGGCUGGCAGUGUUCUCCCUUCUGGUCUUAGCAGCUGCUCUGUCUUCCUUGGAAGGAGGUCUCUGUUGGAAGAGAUCCCCAUGUACUGCUGACUGUGAUAGCUGACCCUUGGAAAGAGGGUGAUCGAACUCCUGGGCAUAAAUGCUAUUAUGUAACAAUCAGGCUUGCUCAAACUAUAAAGCUGGGCUUCCUAGAAGGGGCUAUGGAUGGUGGCACACACUUUCUGUGGCUUCACUGGAGGGUUCUGACAGUCUGGCCACCACAGACCAUCGAGGCAGCACAACAUUCCCUGUACUUGGCAUCUGUGAGACCUGAGUCCCAAUCUCAGCUGGAGAGAAAAAGAAUGGUAGGUUUCCAUCCAAAAAGCACUGGUAUUCCUUUGACCCAUAUUGCUGUGUGUAUCUCUCUAGAGAGGUGACAUGCUGGUGGGCCUCCAUCAUGAGUAGUCACAAUAACCAUGGCUCAUAGACCCUUUCUUCACCCUUGCAGGCUCUGAGACAGUGGGUACAAAGAUACAAGUUCAGAAAGGCCCAGGCAGAAAAUAUAUUGGACAUAGCCUCUCGGAUUUUUGCUUGUUUCUCUUCUUAAGAUUUAUUUUAAGAUACAUUUCCAAUUUAUUAAGAUUAUUUUUAAUGUGUAUUGGUGUUUUGUCUGCAUUUGUAUCUGUAUGAGGGUGCCAGAUCCCCCUGCAACUGGAGUUACAGACAGUUAUGAGGUGCCAUGUGGUUUUGGAGAUUGAACUCAGGUUCUCUGGAAGAACAGUCAAUGUUUAUAUAUAUAUAUAUAUGAACCAUAUAUGUACAUAUAUGAACCAUAUAUGUAUACAUAUAAACCGUAUAUGUGUGUGUGUAUAUGUAUUUGUAUGCACACAGGGUUUCUCUGUGUAGCCAUGGCUGUUCUGGAACUCACUCUGUAGACCAGGCUGGCCUCAAACUCAGAGAUCCACCUGCCUCUGCCUCCCAAGUGCUGGGAUUAAAGGUGUGCGCCACCACUGCCCGGCAGCUCUGAAUUCUCGAUAUUCCUUCUGUCUAAGCCCCUGAGUCCUGGGAUCACAUUGUGAGCCACUGUGUCUGGCUAAAUAUAUUAAUUUUUAAAAAGUGCUGGGGAUGGGACCCAGGAUAUAAUGCAUUCAAAACAAGUACUUUUACUACUAAGCCAUGUCCCCAAAUUAUUGUUUUGUAUAGGAAGGGAUAUAUUGAAGGACUACUUCAGGGGCCGCGGGUACUGGCAAAAACUUUAAACUGCUCUUUGACAUGGUAGGAGUCAAUGUGAUCAUGUGGGGGGUUUUUGGUUUGUUUGUUUUGUUUUUGUUUUUUGUUUUUUGAGACAGGGGUUCUCUGUAUAGCCCUGGCUGUCCUGGAAGUGAUCUUGUGUUUUGAUGGUCCAACAUCUCUGCCUGUUGAGCACGAUGAGCAACAUCAUGUUGUUCAGCAAUAGCUGAGCAGGGAGCCAUCGUCAUGGAGAGAGGAACAGGCUGAUCUCCAGGCGGGCUGUCAAGGAGGUGCUGAAGGGACAGCGCCCGGCUGAAGGGUGAUUCUGAUGUGGGCUGCAAGCGCUUCAGCCUGGACCAGAGCUCUCCCCAGCUGGAGCUGGGCUAUCAUAUGCAUCUGAAUUUUUUCCACCACCUCUCUCUGGAAUCUUGUUAAUGCAGUCUUGGCAAAUAUGGCCUGAGCCUGUAAGCUUUCCCUAUCUACUUUUAAGUAAAAUGAAAUUCCUGUUGCUUGCU
rnacentral:lncRNA from 1 species